rnacentral:rRNA from 1 species
AACGAACGCUGGCGGCAGGCUUAACACAUGCAAGUCGAGCGCAUCCUUCGGGGUGAGCGGCAGACGGGUGAGUAACGCGUGGGAACGUACCCUUUCCUACGGAAUAGCUCCGGGAAACUGGAAUUAAUACCGUAUACGCCCUUAGGGGGAAAGAUUUAUCGGGGAAGGAUCGGCCCGCGUUGGAUUAGCUAGUUGGUGGGGUAAAGGCCUACCAAGGCGACGAUCCAUAGCUGGUCUGAGAGGAUGAUCAGCCACAUUGGGACUGAGACACGGCCCAAACUCCUACGGGAGGCAGCAGUGGAGAAUAUUGGACAAUGGGCGCAAGCCUGAUCCAGCCAUGCCGCGUGAGUGAUGAAGGCCUUAGGGUUGUAAAGCUCUUUCAGUAGGGAAGAUAAUGACGGUACCUACAGAAGAAGCCCCGGCUAACUUCGUGCCAGCAGCCGCCGCCG